AACCAUUAUCUACCCAGGUGACUAUAUUCUCUGCCAAGAAGUUCCUACCAUUUGAUUCUCUAUCUGUGGAGUGAAUAUCAAAGAGUUACAACAAGACAGCUAUUCACACAGGAGGGGCUUUCAGAAGACUCCUAGCUUGGGCGGACACAAAACUGUAGAAGACAACAGUCAAGACAAGGGUAAAAUGAGCUGGUGAAAACCUAAAGGCAAUGGACUGCUGCUGGGUCUCUGCAUUGCACUGGCCUGGCUCCAGACUUCCUGAAUCUGGCUACAACAAAAGCAACAGUCCCCUAAAAGGAGCCUUUUAGUCAAUGGUUUAAAUUCCUGGUUUUCUGUCCCUCAAGGGACAAUGAAAGGGGCCUGACCUCUUGGUCACCUCAAGAAGGUUUGGAGUUCUCUGGAAAGAGGAGAAAGACAACCUUUUAACAGUUUGAUUGGAUAGCUGGAGUCACUACACAGGCACAGAAAAAAGACUGAAGAGAAAUAAGGUGGAAAAUUUAACUGUAUGGUGAAAUUUCAGGUGAUCUCCUUUUACUCUUUGUAAAAUUCUCUACAAUAAGCAUGUGUUUUAAAAACCACUAAAAAUAAAUAAUGUUAAAAUAUGCA
rnacentral:lncRNA from 1 species